CAGCCGCCGCGGGAAUACGUAGGUGGCAAGCGUUGUCCGGAAUUAUUGGGCGUAAAGGGCUCGCAGGCGGUUUCUUAAGUCUGAUGUGAAAGCCCCCGGCUCAACCGGGGAGGGUCAUUGGAAACUGGGAAACCUGAGUGCAGAAGAGGAGAGUGGAAUUCCACGUGUAGCGGUGAAAUGCGUAGAGAUGUGGAGGAACACCAGUGGCGAAGGCGACUCUCUGGUCUGUAACUGACGCUGAGGAGCGAAAGCGUGGGGAGCGAACAGGAUUAGAUACCCCUGUAGUCCCUGUCUCUUAUAC
rnacentral:rRNA from 1 species